UUUAUGGAGAGUUUGAUCCUGGCUCAGGAUGAACGCUGGCGGCGUGCCUAAUACAUGCAAGUCGAGCGAACGGACGAGAAGCUUGCUUCUCUGAUGUUAGCGGCGGACGGGUGAGUAACACGUGGAUAACCUACCUAUAAGACUGGGAUAACUUCGGGAAACCGGAGCUAAUACCGGAUAAUAUUUUGAACCGCAUGAUUCAAAAGUGAAAGACGGUCUUGCUGUCACUUAUAGAUGGAUCCGCGCUGCAUUAGCUAGUUGGUAAGGUAACGGCUUACCAAGGCAACGAUGCAUAGCCGACCUGAGAGGGUGAUCGGCCACACUGGAACUGAGACACGGUCCAGACUCCUACGGGAGGCAGCAGUAGGGAAUCUUCCGCAAUGGGCGAAAGCCUGACGGAGCAACGCCGCGUGAGUGAUGAAGGUCUUCGGAUCGUAAAACUCUGUUAUUAGGGAAGAACAUAUGUGUAAGUAACUGUGCACAUCUUGACGGUACCUAAUCAGAAAGCCACGGCUAACUACGUGCCAGCAGCCGCGGUAAUACGUAGGUGGCAAGCGUUAUCCGGAAUUAUUGGGCGUAAAGCGCGCGUAGGCGGUUUUUUAAGUCUGAUGUGAAAGCCCACGGCUCAACCGUGGAGAGUCAUUGGAAACUGGAAAACUUGAGUGCAGAAGAGGAAAGUGGAAUUCCAUGUGUAGCGGUGAAAUGCGCAGAGAUAUGGAGGAACACCAGUGGCGAAGGCGACUUUCUGGUCUGUAACUGACGCUGAUGUGCGAAAGCGUGGGGAUCAAACAGGAUUAGAUACCCUGGUAGUCCACGCCGUAAACGAUGAGUGCUAAGUGUUAGGGGGUUUCCGCCCCUUAGUGCUGCAGCUAACGCAUUAAGCACUCCGCCUGGGGAGUACGACCGCAAGGUUGAAACUCAAAGGAAUUGACGGGGACCCGCACAAGCGGUGGAGCAUGUGGUUUAAUUCGAAGCAACGCGAAGAACCUUACCAAAUCUUGACAUCCUUUGACAACUCUAGAGAUAGAGC
rnacentral:rRNA from 1 species